CGCCCCUCACCUCGGCCGCGGUCCAGCAGGUGCCGCCAGCAGCAGCAGCAGGUGGCCAGGAGGGAGUGCUAAUAAAGCUUUGGACUGUGAGGUUUCCUUGAUUCUGAAACUUGCACCUAGGUCUGCAAGAUCCUCAAUUUGUUAACCUUCCAGAGGAGCUGUAAAACAUAUUUCUUCUUGGCAUUUGGGGAGAUCCUCCAAGAGAGCAGUAAUCAUGCCUUUGGAAUGCACCAAACAGUAUGGAAGAGCAAGAAACUCCAAACAAGCUACCUUCAGCUUGGAGAAAGAAGGGAAGGACAGGGAGUCUCAUCUUCCCUGCUAGCGCACUACUGCCCCAGAGACCAUUCGGGUGAUACAAAGAAGAGUGAACCUAACCCAACAGAGCCUGAUGGUGACCGAACAUGCAUGUGGUAGCCUAAGACAUAUUACAAUUAGGCUGCAGACUACAUCAUCAUCAGGUUCUGAAGACACAAGAUUGAAUCAAGUGCUCCAGAAAGAAAUCUUGCAAAUUACUACUCUGCCUGAAAAAUGAGUAAAUCAACUGUGAAAAGGUAACUUUUGGAAGCCCCCCGAACUACUAAACUCUAAAGAAGGGAGCUAGUUUCAAUCUUUAACAAAACGGCAAAAGUGUGGAAAUGGCCACGACCUUUCGUUGUCAAUUGUAAAACAGCCAAUUAGCCACCCCUACAACUCCGCCCCCUUGUCCCCAAACUCAUGGAUUAAUUUACCCAAGAGAAUGGAAGAGAUCUGAAGGAGCUUUUCCAAACCUAGGCCAAUUACUGAAUUUGUUGAAACAUGGAUUAUGUAUUGAAAUUAACUAGAAUGGCACCUUUGGAAUCACUGUCAACUUCAAUUACAGGUCAGCAGUUCAUUGGGUUCUGUUUUAUUUUGCAAUUAUGUAAAUUAAACCACUUGAGUAAGAUUAUUUAAAAUGGCAUUGGCAUGUGCAGUAAAGUAAAACAGUGUUUAAUAUGAAUCCUGGACAAUGGCUGUGACUACAGCAGAGCCCAGACCACUAUAAAGGAACCUUACAGUUAAUGAGAAACAGGCCCUUUAUCUUCAAAUGUCCUGCCUGUGCUCCCACUGGUGCAGCUUUAGUUAGAUUAUCUAACCCUGCUCAAAAUGCCAGCACCCAGAAGUGGCCUAUGUACAUUAGCAUUCCCACUAUUGGAGCUACACCAGUGGUAACAAUGAUGAGAAAUUAUAAAAAGGGGGAAAAUCUGCUGUAAAGGCGGCCAGGGGGCCUGAUCUUGCUUCCACUGAAAUCACUGGCAAGACUCCCACUGACUUGAAUGGAAAUUGAAUCAAGUCCUAUACAAACUAUUUCUUAGACAAAGUUAUACCAAAUAGAAUUCCCAUUUGAAUUCCCAGGAGAGCCAAAAGCUUGAUCCUGCCAGAAGUCAUUGGAAGUUUUGUCACUGACUUCAGCGAGAGCAGAAGGAACCCCAAAAUGUUACAUCUGUUUAAUUAUUAUUUUAUACCAAAACUAAACUACAUUUUAAAAAUUAAACACACAAAACCAAAACGAUAUACUCCUGACGUGAAGCUUUGUAUAACUUUUAACCCAAGAAGAAAUUUUUUUUCAGUAGAUUUAAGGCCCUGUGAAAAAAUGGAUUUAUAUUGGAACUGCACACAUAACCUUAGCUAUAACAUCACAAAGGUCUUGUAAAAGAAAAUGUCAAAUAUUCUUUAAAUAUCUUAGAUUUAUUUCAGACUUAAUUUUAACAUUCUGAGUGAAACUUAAAAAAAACCCCAACAACCUUUAAUUAUUCAGCUUCAAAGGCAUUUCAUAUUGACUGUAUUCCUCAUUUUUUACCUUUCUUCAAAGUACACACAGACACAGUCAAUGACCAGGUUCUAUUCUGAGGGAUAUUAAGUAUUUAGGAGGAAUUGUAUUAGUUUCAUAGUUGUAGUCCAAUUUCUAUUGCAAUAUGGAGAAGACGCAACUUAAAAAUGGCCUGUGAAAAACUACAUAUUUGAUCAGGACAUUAUAUGUGCCUAUUUCAUACCCAACUCAUAGUAUUUAAAAAUGGAAUUAAUGCAUAACACAUAUGCAUCUAAAUACAUACACAAUAUUUCAAAUACAAAAAUAUGUUAUGGCUCCAUUGCAGUAUGUAUAGCUUUUGCAGUAAGAAAGGGUUAAAAAGUAAUGCAUACAAAAUGUGAUGAGCAACUGAGAAAUACAAAUCUACCUAACUGAUGUGCUGCGCACCUGAGUGCAAAAUCCGCGAUCUAAAUGUAGAGAAAGUGCUGAAUGAUCUACAGCCCAGUUUUCAUAGGCUAAUGAGAUGUCUAUCUGUGGGUGAAUGUUUUGUUAGAUUGUUACAAAUGAGUUCUGACAUCUGGAUAAGGACACAACCUACGGAUUUACUCUAUACUAUAGAUUGUUUUAAUCUUGUUUUUUCCUUUAUCAUUUUCUCUGUGGUAGCGAUAAGGAACUAUUAUUUGGUGCAUGUACAUAGACACCAACUCUGUGGGUGCUCUGUGCCUCAAGCACCCAUGGAAAAAAAAUAGGGGCUGCUCAGCGUCCACCAGCCACACUGGUUCCGGCCCCGGGGCUGGCCGCUGAUCAGCUCUCGGGCUGACCGCCGAUCAGCGAGUGACUGGUUGGAGGUGCUAGGGGAGGGCAGGGCAGAGGGGAAGGAGUGGCGGUUGGGGCAGCCUCAGGAGAGGGAAUGGAGAGGAGUGAGCAGCGAGGGGCAUUAGGUGAGGCAUGAAGGUGGGGCCUCAGAGGAGGGUGCGGGGCAAGGGUGGAGCAGGGGGUGGAGCACCUACCGGGAAAAACAAAACUCAGUGCCUGUGUGCGUGUCUAAAUCACAGCACAAUCUAAAACACUUUCCCUGUAUUGACUUACGUGUAUGCAUUUUACUCAUGGCAGAUGUUCAGGUUGGAAUUUCUGUGUUUAUAGCUGCCCAUGGUUUACUAACUCUUUUUAUAUGUACCAAAAAAGGUGGGAAGCAAAUUUCAUUAUGGAUAAGAGGUCAAUCCUGAGAGGUGCUAAGCACCCAUAACGACAGAUUGUAUAGAUCAAAGUCAGGAUCUGGAAGCUGUGAAUGUAAAUCUAUAUUCAAAAAUCAAACCUAAAAGAUAACAAAGAUACAUUGUUCGGACACAUUUUGGCAGUAAAACACACAGCAUAUAUACUAUUUCCAGAAAGGCUAUGCUGUAUAGAUAAUGUUAAGGGACAAAAUAGUUGUGAUGUUUUCAUUUUUUAUCACAUUACAAAAUGACUAUCUGAAUAUAUUUCCAUGAGAGAUACACUAGUAGAAUAUGUAUAUUUUUAAUUUCUCUCUCUCAAAAGUACUUUAGCAAUAUCAUUAGAACACAUGGAGGGCUCCAGCAAACUGCAUGGCCCUGAAAUUAUGCAGCAUAUAUAUUAUGUACAUAAGAUGUAUCUGCUGAGUAAGAAUAUAGUACUUAUCAAAUUUUGUUUGAUAAUCUCUUCCAUACAUGUCUAUGUUCAUGUCUUUUUUAAUAUAUGUAUCUUUUCCUGCAGCAUUCAGAAUUAAAGAGCUUUUCUGGAGUAAGUUGUUGGGUGGAAGGAUAUUUACUUUCUAAACAACUCCAUAUCAAACAUUUUUCAGUUUAUCCCUGAAACCUGCCAACAUCCCUCUCACUUUUGUUUCUGCCCGAAUAAACUUUGAAAAAAUAACAAAACUGCAUUGCGACUAAAACCAGGUAAUUUUCUAGAUGUGAAUGAAUGACAGAAAAGACUGUGAAGUGAACUAUUAUAUUAACAAAACAUAAUACAGACAAAAUUUGUGGUUUUUACAAUCAAGUAUUCCCGGGGUUCGAAGAUGAUAUAAUCACAAUGCAUCCUGGUUUUCUUUUAAAUGAAGUAUUUCUUUACUUUUAGUUCUGCAAUUUAAAUACACCUGGGAAUAGCAAGAGUGGGAUUAUCGUUUAAUUAUUUAGCCAGUGUGCACAUAUGCAUUUGUGGAGCACUAUCUGGAACAUUUCCCCUGAAUUUCCUCAUAAUCUACUCAUAAAUCUCUAUUUUUGUUAAAAAGAAAAUAAAUCUAUCACCAUAUAGGCAUGUCUACACAUAUGGCUAGAAUUCCUAUUCUCAAAACUAAGUGUGUGAUGUUGAUAAAUAACUUAAUAGGAGUAGGAAAUGUGUGAACAGACAACAUAUUUGCGUGGACAAGUCCUUUAGAUUUAAUACGUGUGAUUUUCUAAAACCAAUAAGAUUUCUGAGUGGCCUAUACAUAGCUAGGUCACCUAUGUUUGUUGUAACAUUUUACUUGAAUUCCAUAUUAGAAGUGAACAUAUAAAAUAUUCUACCAUUGCUUAUUUGACAUUGGCACAAUCCAUUGCUAUUUACAUUAUCAGUCUAUUGUCAUUUUGAUACAUUUAUAUUGUCUGCAAUAUGCAUUUAGAAAAAUGGUAAUUUAUCAACUUUCAUCAUUAUCCAUUGAUGUAUUUUUUUAAGAACAAAUAAAUAAGCUGGACUUUCCAAAACUGAUUUACUGUACAUUAGUUAACAAAUAGGUUUGAUUUGUAGAAUUCUCUCUCUUGUAUUUGACUUGACCUUUAGUAUGACUCUCCAAGGUACUUUUGUGAGCUUUAAUUCAAUGUAAUUUAAUUACAGGAAUUGUGUUCUGUGGAAAAGAUAAGAUUACCUACUGUGAGCAAAACAAAGGCUUUGCUAAUUAUACAUCAGAAUUAAGCCAUAUUUAGUCUCACAUCAUCUAAUGCUGCAAAAUUAGAACAUUUUAAUAUAUACCUAACAUUUGUAUGGCUUGACCUUUAGAAGUAAUAAAGCUGCUCCUUUUGAUCUAGAAUUCAUAUUGGGAUAAAGUGUACAUAUUUCUACUAUGUUACAAAUGAUAUUUAUCCAUGAUAGAUUA